GGGGCUGUAGCUCAGUGGUAGAGUGCUUGUGUAGCCACAUGUGGGACCCUAGGUUCGAUCCUCAGCACCA
rnacentral:tRNA from 1 species